rfam:Bradyrhizobium sp. BR 10245 contig31, whole genome shotgun sequence.
CUACCGGCGUCGCAAGACGUCGGGACGGGGCGGCAGAAGUCAGCAGAGGCUGUAGUAGCCGGCAGCACCAAGCCGGCGAAGGGC